UACGGAGGAGGCGAGCGUUAUCCGGAAUUAUUGGGCGUAAAGCGUCCGCAGGUGGCGCUUCAAGUCUGCGGUCAAAGACUGGGGCUUAACCCUGGAAAGGCCGUGGAAACUGAAUAGCUAGAGUGCAGUAGGGGUAGAGGGAAUUCCCGGUGUAGCGGUGAAAUGCGUAGAGCUCGGGAAGAACAUCGGUGGCGAAAGCGCUCUGCUGGACUGCAACUGACACUCAGGGACGAAAGCUAGGGGAGCGAAUGGG
rnacentral:rRNA from 1 species